UUCCAGACUCCUACGGGAGGCAGCAGUGAGGAAUAUUGGUCAAUGGCCGAGAGGCUGAACCAGCCAAGUCGCGUGAGGGAAGAAUGUCCUAAGGAUUGUAAACCUCUUUUGUCGGGGAGCAAAAAGGCUCUGCGGAGUCGUAUUGAGAGUACCCGAAGAAAAAGCAUCGGCUAACUCCGUGCCAGCAGCCGCGGUAAUACGGAGGAUGCGGGCGUUAUCCGGAUUUAUUGGGUUUAAAGGGUGCGUAGGCGGAAUGCCAAGUCAGCGGUAAAAUCGCGGGGCUCAACCUCGCUCCGCCGUUGAAACUGGCGUUCUUGAGUGGGCGAGAAGUAUGCGGAAUGCGUGGUGUAGCGGUGAAAUGCAUAGAUAUCACGCAGAACUCCGAUUGCGAAGGCAGCAUACCGGCGCCCAACUGACGCUGAAGCACGAAAGCGUGGGUAUCGAACAGGAUUAGAUACCCGGGUACU
rnacentral:rRNA from 1 species